UUAUGUAUUUUUAAAGUGUAGGGGGUAGGUCGCCCCCAUCCAGCUGGACAAUUGUCAAUCCAACAGUGUCAAAACACAGUGUCUUCCGAAAGCAACAGACUUAAGGGAUCUCGUGGAUAAGAAGAAGAAAACUAAGUUUUUAUCUUGCCAGUUUGGGAGUCGUUAGUAUCCUGGCACCCUUUAGUUAGACGGCAGAUUGACCACAGUCUGGGGAAUUGGCACCCACCGUGCCCCUCAUCCCCAGAACCAGACACAGGGGUCAGCUCGUGUCUAAGACAAGCAAGGACCGGGAGCAUAACAGAAGGAAGGAAUUUAAUAACGGACAGCGGUGGGACCCAGGAACCUCCGCCUGAGCCCUCUGGCAAGCCUGCACCAGGGAUGGAGCACUGCGCACAGGUAGGACCUAGGUCCGCCUCUCCUCUGGAGAGAUCUAAGUUAAUUUUGGUUGAAGAGUCAGCCUAGCCCCUAAACUCUCUGUAAUUACUGUACUACUAACUCACCUUGAGGAGAGUGGUCCCCUUACAGCCUGGCCCGGGCAGAGGUGGGGAGAGGCGCGGCCUCAGAAGAAAGGAGCACGUCCCAUUUCUAAACUACACCCGGCCAAGGGCGCCUGGAG
ensembl:lncRNA